GGUCGCGUGGCCCAAUGGCAAGGCGCUUGACUACGAAUCAAGAGAUUGCAGGUAAGCAUCAGCAAUAUUAGCCUGCCAAACCCCGACACUAAUAAGUUUCAGGUUCGAUCCCUGCCGCGAUCA